AUUGAACUGAAGAGUUUGAUCCUGGCUCAGAUUGAACGCUGGCGGUAUGCCUAACACAUGCAAGUCGAACGCCAAAGGUCUUCG
rnacentral:rRNA from 1 species